GUCUACCUCCAUACAACCCUGAAUGUGCCCUAUUUUGUCUGAACUCGGAAGUUAAGCAAGGUCAGGCCUGGUUAGGACUUGGAUGGGAGACCACUGGGGAAUACCGGGUUCUGUAGGCU
rnacentral:rRNA from 1 species